UCAUGGCUCAGAACGAACGCUGGCGGCAGGCUUAACACAUGCAAGUCGAACGCCCCGCAAGGGGAGUGGCAGACGGGUGAGUAACGCGUGGGAACAUACCCUUUCCUGCGGAAUAGCUCCGGGAAACUGGAAUUAAUACCGCAUACGCCCUACGGGGGAAAGAUUUAUCGGGGAAGGAUUGGCCCGCGUUGGAUUAGCUAGUUGGUGGGGUAAAGGCCUACCAAGGCGACGAUCCAUAGCUGGUCUGAGAGGAUGAUCAGCCACAUUGGGACUGAGACACGGCCCAAACUCCUACGGGAGGCAGCAGUGGGGAAUAUUGGACAAUGGGCGCAAGCCUGAUCCAGCCAUGCCGCGUGAGUGAUGAAGGCCUUAGGGUUGUAAAGCUCUUUCACCGAUGAAGAUAAUGACGGUAGUCGGAGAAGAAGCCCCGGCUAACUUCGUGCCAGCAGCCGCGGUAAUACGAAGGGGGCUAGCGUUGUUCGGAAUUACUGGGCGUAAAGCGCACGUAGGCGGAUAUUUAAGUCAGGGGUGAAAUCCCGCAGCUCAACUGCGGAACUGCCUUUGAUACUGGGUAUCUUGAGUAUGGAAGAGGUAAGUGGAAUUCCGAGUGUAGAGGUGAAAUUCGUAGAUAUUCGGAGGAACACCAGUGGCGAAGGCGGCUUAC
rnacentral:rRNA from 1 species